UGGUUCUGGCAUCGAUGAAGAACGCAGCGAAAUGCGAUAAGUAAUGUGAAUUGCAGAAUUCAGUGAAUCAUCGAAUCUUUGAACGCACAUUGCGCCCGCCAGUAUUCUGGCGGGCAUGCCUGUUCGAGCGUCAUUUCAACCCCUCGGGCUCUUCUUAUAGAGACCGGCGUCGGGGCUCCCCGCUAGCGCGGGGGCUCCCAGAGACAGUGGCGGACCCGCCGCGGCUCCGAGCGCAGUAACUAUACCUAGCUCCGGUGCCCGCGGUGGUGCUUCGGCCGUAAACACUCUUCUAAGGUUGACCUCGGAUCAGGUAGGAAUACCCGCUGA
rnacentral:misc_RNA from 1 species